AUUGAACGCUGGCGGCAGGCCUAACACAUGCAAGUCGAACGGUAGCACAGAGAGCUUGCUCUUGGGUGACGAGUGGCGGACGGGUGAGUAAUGUCUGGGAAACUGCCUGAUGGAGGGGGAUAACUACUGGAAACGGUAGCUAAUACCGCAUAACGUCGCAAGACCAAAGAGGGGGACCUUCGGGCCUCUUGCCAUCAGAUGUGCCCAGAUGGGAUUAGCUAGUAGGUGGGGUAACGGCUCACCUAGGCGACGAUCCCUAGCUGGUCUGAGAGGAGGACCAGCCACACUGGACCUGAGACACGGUCCAGACUCAUACGGGAGGCAGCAGUGGGGAAUAUUGCACAAUGGGCGCAAGCCUGAUGCAGCCAUGCCGCGUGUAUGAAGAAGGCCUUCGGGUUGUAAAGUACUUUCAGCGAGGAGGAAGGCGAUACAGUUAAUAACCGUGUCGAUUGACGUUACUCGCAGAAGAAGCACCGGCUAACUCCGUGCCAGCCGCCGCCGUAA
rnacentral:rRNA from 1 species